rnacentral:telomerase_RNA from 17 species
AUGAGGAGGUCGGUUACCUAUUAAGAUGUCCAUGGUCGUCACGUUUAGUUACUAGUAUUUUUUCUCUUUUGUUUCUGUUUUUUGUGCAUUUUCCAUUUGAGUUUUCUAUUGUUGAGCCUCAGAUAUUUGGUAGACGCUUAAUGGUGGAAUGAUUGGACCGGAUUUAGGGUUGUGUUCUCAGAUUGGCGGGCAGUUACACUGGUUGUUGUUUUUUAACGAAGGGCUAUGAGUGCGCUGGUGUCAGUGUAGAUACAUAUGUAUGCGCACAUGUGGUUUUUGUUGUUCUUCUACUUAUAGAUCGCUAAAAUCUGAGUUUGAGAAAUGCGGGACCAUCCAUGUCCGAAUAUAACUGACGCAUUUUGUAGCUAGAACACGUUUUUCCUACAAUUAUCCCGCUCCUCUUAGAAAAAUUCUGCUUUCACUCCAACUCUUCAUCAUUUUAUAAGAAUUUGUCUACCAUUACCACACCCACACACAAACAUUACGGCUAGUAGUUUAUUAGUCAAAUUUCCAUGGCCACACAUUUUGUCUUUUUCUCGUUUUCUUAUUGUGUUUUCUGUCACUGUGAAAGUGACGGAGAAAAAGGAGUUUGAAUCAGAUUUGCAAAACGGGCUGUAUCAAUAAUACUGUCAUUCCUAAUGUCUGAUUCAUCGUCAACUCUGUAAAAAGAGAACAAGAAAGGAAAAAUUGAUGGGCAAAAGUAUAUAUAGAAAUGGUUUAUUCCCGUUUUUUCCAUUUUUCAGUAGAUUUUUCCCUUUUGCGAGAAUAAAUUGACACUUGAACAAAAAGCUUCGAAGAAAAAUCUAUUCACUGAACUUAUAUAUAGAAAAAUCAAAUGUGCUAAGUAUAUUUAAAAUGGAAACAAAUAGGGGGAAAGAGAUAGGUAGAUAAACAGCCCAAGGGACAAGGACACCCUUCCUCAGGCACUGAAUAUAUUGGAGAGUGGACAGUAACAGAGAAAUGAUACAAGAUGGAAAGCCAUAAAUUGAGAUUUUCUUGAAUGGGUUCAUUUAGAUAUUUCUCUUUAGCCAUUUUUGAUAAUCAAUACAGUAUUCUUGUUCCCAUCCUUGUCAGAUUAAGGAAGGAACAUUAAUUCCAAACAGGAAAAACUGUGUGUUCACUUCGUGGGUUUGCGUGUUGUACAUUUCCUUCAUCCGUGUUGGCGGUUACUUUCCUCAAUAUACCUUCAGUGCAUACAAAUUUUUGGAACAAUUU